rnacentral:rRNA from 1 species
AUGGAGGUGGUUGACACCAUAAAGAAAGGAGGACGAUCGUCGGGAGCAGCGGUGGCAAUUUUUGAUGAUUGUUUUCAUUUAGCUUGUGAUUUUCCCAUUUCUAGAUUUGAGCAUUGUAACAAAGAAGCAAAUAGAGUUGCUCAUGAACUUGCAAAAUUGGCUAGAUUUUCUUUUAUUUCUUUAUGGUUCGAGGAGCCAAAUAGUGAUAUUGUACCAAUUCUCGUAAACAAUGUAAUGGUUAUUUUGAAUAAAGCUCGAUUUUCUUUCAAAAACGAUGUAAUGGUUAUUUUCUAG